AUGAACGCUGGCGGCGUGCCUAAUACAUGCAAGUCGCGCGAACAGACGAGGAGCUUGCUCCUCUGACGUUAGCGGCGGACGGGUGAGUAACACGUGGAUAACCUACCUAUAAGACUGGGAUAACUUCGGGAAACCGGAGCUAAUACCGGAUAAUAUAUUGAACCGCAUGGUUCAAUAGUGAAAGACGGUUUUGCUGUCACUUAUAGAUGGAUCCGCGCCGCAUUAGCUAGUUGGUAAGGUAACGGCUUACCAAGGCAACGAUGCGUAGCCGACCUGAGAGGGUGAUCGGCCACACUGGAACUGAGACACGGUCCAGACUCCUACGGGAGGCAGCAGUAGGGAAUCUUCCGCAAUGGGCGAAAGCUUGACGGAGCAACGCCGCGUGAGUGAUGAAGGUCUUCGGAUCGUAAAACUCUGUUAUUAGGGAAGAACAAAUGUGUAAGUAACUAUGCACGUCUUGACGGUACCUAAUCAGAAAGCCACGGCUAGCUACGUG
rnacentral:rRNA from 1 species